CACUCCGGUAGCCUAGUGGUUAGAGUGUUCGCCUCAGAUGCGGAAGGUCGUGGGUUCGAGCACAGUUGAGUCA